rnacentral:rRNA from 1 species
CAAGUCGACGGCAGCACGGGAGCAAUCCUGGUGGCGAGUGGCGAACGGGUGAGUAAUAUAUCGGAACGUGCCCAGUCGUGGGGGAUAACGUAGAGAAAUUUACGCUAAUACCGCAUACGAUCUAAGGAUGAAAGCGGGGGACCGUAAGGCCUCGCGCGAUUGGAGCGGCUGAUAUCAGAUUAGGUUGUUGGUGAGGUAAAAGCUCACCAAGCCGACGAUCUGUAGCUGGUUUGAGAGAACGACCAGCCACACUGGGACUGAGACACGGCCCAGACUCCUACGGGAGGCAGCAGUGGGGAAUUUUGGACAAUGGGCGAAAGCCUGAUCCAGCAAUGCCGCGUGCAGGAAGAAGGCCUUCGGGUUGUAAACUGCUUUUGUACGGAACGAAAAGGUCUGCCCUAAUACGGCGGGCCCAUGACGGUACCGUAAGAAUAAGCACCGGCUAACUACGUGCCAGCAGCCGCGGUAAUACGUAGGGUGCGAGCGUUAAUCGGAAUUACUGGGCGUAAAGCGUGCGCAGGCGGUGAUGUAAGACAGUUGUGAAAUCCCCGGGCUCAACCUGGGAAUUGCAUCUGUGACUGCAUCGCUAGAGUACGGUAGAGGGGGAUGGAAUUCCGCGUGUAGCAGUGAAAUGCGUAGAUAUGCGGAGGAACACCGAUGGCGAAGGCAAUCCCCUGGACCUGUACUGACGCUCAUGCACGAAAGCGUG